rnacentral:rRNA from 1 species
AUUGAACGCUGGCGGCAGGCCUAACACAUGCAAGUCGAACGAGUGGCGGACGGGUGAGUACUGUCUGGGAAACUGCCGGCUGUAGGGGAAUAACUACUGGAACCGGUAGCUAAUACCGCAUACCAUCAGAUGUGCCCAGAGGGGAUUAGUUUGUUGGUGGGGUAACGGCUCACCAAGGCGACGCUCCCUAGCUGGUCUGAGAGGCUGACCAGCCACACUGACACUGAGACACGGUCCAGACUCCUACGGGAGGCCGCAGUGGGGAAUAUUGCACAAUGGGCGCAAUCCUGAUGCAGCCAUGCCGCGUUUAUGAAGAAGGCCUUCGGGUUGUAAAGUACUUUCAGCGGGGAGGCGUUAACCGCAGAAGAAGCACCGGCUAACUCCGUGCCAGCAGCCGCGGUAAUAC